GAGACGAGAUCCCUUGAGUCUUAGGCAUAGUUCAUUUUUUCCUUAUCUCUGAUGUAGCUCGUCGCUUUUUCUUUUUCUCUCCUCCUUUUCUUUAUGUUUGGGCGAGGAUUUUUUCUCUGCUCCUAAUGGGAUUGUAGGGGUGUAGAGGAGCUGUCGAGGGGCUUUUCUCCUCAUCCGAUCUCAAAUGACCAGAUCUUCGUUUGUGUCAGGAUGAGGUUCUCCUCCUAUUCCCG
rnacentral:lncRNA from 1 species